UACGGAGGAUCCGAGCGUUAUCCGGAUUUAUUGGGUUUAAAGGGUGCGCAGGCGGGAUGUUAAGUCGGCGGUGAAAUUUUGCAGCUCAACUGUAAAAGUGCCUUCGAUACUGGCUUCCUUGAGUGUGGAUGAAGUAGGCGGAAUUUGUGGUGUAGCGGUGAAAUGCUUAGAUAUCACGAGGAACUCCGAUUGCGCAGGCAGCUUACUAAACCACUACUGACGCUCAUGCACGAAGGCGUGGGGAGUCAAACAGGAUUAGAUA
rnacentral:rRNA from 1 species